rnacentral:rRNA from 1 species
GGGUUGUGAGGUUAAGCGACUAAGCGUACACGGUGGAUGCCCUGGCAGUCAGAGGCGAUGAAGGACGUGCUAAUCUGCGAUAAGCGUCGGUAAGGUGAUAUGAACCGUUAUAACCGGCGAUUUCCGAAUGGGGAAACCCAGUGUGUUUCGACACACUAUCAUUAACUGAAUCCAUAGGUUAAUGAGGCGAACCGGGGGAACUGAAACAUCUAAGUACCCCGAGGAAAAGAAAUCAACCGAGAUUCCCCCAGUAGCGGCGAGCGAACGGGGAGGAGCCCAGAGCCUGAAUCAGUGUGUGUGUUAGUGGAAGCGUCUGGAAAGGCGCGCGAUACAGGGUGACAGCCCCGUACACAAAAAUGCACAUGCUGUGAGCUCGAUGAGUAGGGCGGGACACGUGGUAUCCUGUCUGAAUAUGGGGGGACCAUCCUCCAAGGCUAAAUACUCCUGACUGACCGAUAGUGAACCAGUACCGUGAGGGAAAGGCGAAAAGAACCCCGGUGAGGGGAGUGAAAAAGAACCUGAAACCGUGUACGUACAAGCAGUGGGAGCACGCUUAGGCGUGUGACUGCGUACCUUUUGUAUAAUGGGUCAGCGACUUAUAUUCUGUAGCAAGGUUAACCGAAUAGGGGAGCCGAAGGGAAACCGAGUCUUAACUGGGCGUUAAGUUGCAGGGUAUAGACCCGAAACCCGGUGAUCUAGCCAUGGGCAGGUUGAAGGUUGGGUAACACUAACUGGAGGACCGAACCGACUAAUGUUGAAAAAUUAGCGGAUGACUUGUGGCUGGGGGUGAAAGGCCAAUCAAACCGGGAGAUAGCUGGUUCUCCCCGAAAGCUAUUUAGGUAGCGCCUCGUGAAUUCAUCUCCGGGGGUAGAGCACUGUUUCGGCAAGGGGGUCAUCCCGACUUACCAACCCGAUGCAAACUGCGAAUACCGGAGAAUGUUAUCACGGGAGACACACGGCGGGUGCUAACGUCCGUCGUGAAGAGGGAAACAACCCAGACCGCCAGCUAAGGUCCCAAAGUCAUGGUUAAGUGGGAAACGAUGUGGGAAGGCCCAGACAGCCAGGAUGUUGGCUUAGAAGCAGCCAUCAUUUAAAGAAAGCGUAAUAGCUCACUGGUCGAGUCGGCCUGCGCGGAAGAUGUAACGGGGCUAAACCAUGCACCGAAGCUGCGGCAGCGACGCUGAUGCGUUGUUGGGUAGGGGAGCGUUCUGUAAGCCUGUGAAGGUGUGCUGUGAGGCAUGCUGGAGGUAUCAGAAGUGCGAAUGCUGACAUAAGUAACGAUAAAGCGGGUGAAAAGCCCGCUCGCCGGAAGACCAAGGGUUCCUGUCCAACGUUAAUCGGGGCAGGGUGAGUCGACCCCUAAGGCGAGGCCGAAAGGCGUAGUCGAUGGGAAACAGGUUAAUAUUCCUGUACUUGGUGUUACUGCGAAGGGGGGACGGAGAAGGCUAUGUUGGCCGGGCGACGGUUGUCCCGGUUUAAGCGUGUAGGCUGGUUUUCCAGGCAAAUCCGGAAAAUCAAGGCUGAGGCGUGAUGACGAGGCACUACGGUGCUGAAGCAACAAAUGCCCUGCUUCCAGGAAAAGCCUCUAAGCAUCAGGUAACAUCAAAUCGUACCCCAAACCGACACAGGUGGUCAGGUAGAGAAUACCAAGGCGCUUGAGAGAACUCGGGUGAAGGAACUAGGCAAAAUGGUGCCGUAACUUCGGGAGAAGGCACGCUGAUAUGUAGGUGAAGCGACUUGCUCGUGGAGCUGAAAUCAGUCGAAGAUACCAGCUGGCUGCAACUGUUUAUUAAAAACACAGCACUGUGCAAACACGAAAGUGGACGUAUACGGUGUGACGCCUGCCCGGUGCCGGAAGGUUAAUUGAUGGGGUUAGCGCAAGCGAAGCUCUUGAUCGAAGCCCCGGUAAACGGCGGCCGUAACUAUAACGGUCCUAAGGUAGCGAAAUUCCUUGUCGGGUAAGUUCCGACCUGCACGAAUGGCGUAAUGAUGGCCAGGCUGUCUCCACCCGAGACUCAGUGAAAUUGAACUCGCUGUGAAGAUGCAGUGUACCCGCGGCAAGACGGAAAGACCCCGUGAACCUUUACUAUAGCUUGACACUGAACAUUGAGCCUUGAUGUGUAGGAUAGGUGGGAGGCUUAGAAGUGUGGACGCCAGUCUGCAUGGAGCCGACCUUGAAAUACCACCCUUUAAUGUUUGAUGUUCUAACGUUGACCCGUAAUCCGGGUUGCGGACAGUGUCUGGUGGGUAGUUUGACUGGGGCGGUCUCCUCCUAAAGAGUAACGGAGGAGCACGAAGGUUGGCUAAUCCUGGUCGGACAUCAGGAGGUUAGUGCAAUGGCAUAAGCCAGCUUGACUGCGAGCGUGACGGCGCGAGCAGGUGCGAAAGCAGGUCAUAGUGAUCCGGUGGUUCUGAAUGGAAGGGCCAUCGCUCAACGGAUAAAAGGUACUCCGGGGAUAACAGGCUGAUACCGCCCAAGAGUUCAUAUCGACGGCGGUGUUUGGCACCUCGAUGUCGGCUCAUCACAUCCUGGGGCUGAAGUAGGUCCCAAGGGUAUGGCUGUUCGCCAUUUAAAGUGGUACGCGAGCUGGGUUUAGAACGUCGUGAGACAGUUCGGUCCCUAUCUGCCGUGGGCGCUGGAGAACUGAGGGGGGCUGCUCCUAGUACGAGAGGACCGGAGUGGACGCAUCACUGGUGUUCGGGUUGUCAUGCCAAUGGCACUGCCCGGUAGCUAAAUGCGGAAGAGAUAAGUGCUGAAAGCAUCUAAGCACGAAACUUGCCCCGAGAUGAGUUCUCCCUGACUCCUUGAGAGUCCUGAAGGAACGUUGAAGACGACGACGUUGAUAGGCCGGGUGUGUAAGCGCAGCGAUGCGUUGAGCUAACCGGUACUAAUGAACCGUGAGGCUUAACCUUACAACGCCGAAGGUGUUU